rnacentral:tRNA from 1 species
AUGUUGUGAGUCCUUGAGGGCGUCAGCUUUGAAGGGGCUGAAGGUUUUUAACAUU